rnacentral:lncRNA from 1 species
ACAAUUGUUAGUGAAUAAAUUAAGUUUAUGUUCAGGGGUGAUGACAGGGAUCGGGAUUACAGGAGGAGCAGCCAGAGUAGAAGCAGGGGAAGAAGUGAGCGUGAAUCUCAUCGUGGCAGGCACAGGGAUUCUUCCUAUCGAAGCAGAAGCCGGUCCCGGAGCCGAAGCCGUAGUGCAAGUCCUGGCUAUCGCAGAGAACGUGGUAGAGGAAAAUAUGAUGAUGGUGAGAGACGUAGACGGAGUCGGUCUUAUGAAAGGUACUAUUUGAAAUAUUAAUAGCAUGUACGACGCUACUUUUGCUGUUUGAGAUUAAUUCUUAUUAUGUUUUUGGUGAUCUGUUAGUGCAUCUCCUGUUCGACGAAGUCUCAGUCCUCAGAGGUCUCCUUCCCCCAAAAAAUCGCCUCUGUCCAGGGAUGGAAGUCCUGAUGUGCGCAAUCACAAAGAACGAUCUGCCACCCCCCCGAAGAGUGUUUCUCCCCGUGGCCGUCGUGAUUCUCGGAGCCCAUCUCCACAUGAUGAGGUUGAUGUAAGUAUUCUAUCCUACCGUGUGUCCUGCCUGUGGCAAUUUAUUUUGUCUCAGUAGAAUUUUUGAUCCUUUCUUUUGUCUUUUUCCAGGACUAAUGGAUUGGCAGCUUGUGCUUUCUUGAGUAAUUUGACCUAUCAUCAUAUGGUGGUUGCGAUCAAUGCUUUUCCUAAAGAUCUGUCAUCAGUUUGAAUACCUAUGCAUUGUACUAGACUUGUUUUAUCGUUUUAUGUUAGAUUCUGCACCAGACAUAAAUGGUUUGGUACCAGUCUAAACUCUUUAAUCUUUCUUAGGUGGAUUGAGCUUUCAGUACAUUUCUUAUUCCUAAUAUGAAUGUGUGCCAUUGAACGUCUCACUCAUAUGAAGUCUUUAUUUGCCUUCUAUAGUUUGUGAACGUGAGGUAGUUGCUGAUUGGCAAGAUGAUGCAGCAGCUAUUGAUGCUGCUUUUAGAUGAUGCCGUAGGUGUCGAUGCUGCUUUUACAUUGCUGUUGAUUGUUAUGAUUUCUUGCUGGUGAUGAUGAUCUAAGGUUUGUUUACAAGCUCUCUGAGCAUGUCAUUAUUGGUGAGGUUAAUGGGUAUAUGCUUGUUAUUCUAUAAUCACAUUAGACUUCCCAAUAUAAUCUCUAACAUCACACUUUGUGGGAAUUGAUUCUUUUGCUGAUAACAUUUGAAGACUGGUAAGAAAUCAACUUGCUAGGUUUUCACAUUAUUUUGCUCUUCAAAAUUGUUUGGAGAUUUUGAUUCAUUAGUUGUGAAGAUUACCUCAUUUUGUGCUGAUACCAGUUACUCUGUUACAGCACAUGAGAUUGUGGCUGUAGCUGUGAGGUACCUGUUGUAGAUCGAUUGUCGGUGAUAGCUAUAGAAGCUGAUGCUGCUUUUUGAUGAAUGGUUUUAGUAGCUGUGUUGCAGUUGGAUGCAUGGACCUGCUUUAUUGUGAAAUUUUGCUACUUGGAAUGGCAUCUAAUCGUUAUUUGUUACUCACCUCUUUCUUGUUUGGAUUGUACAGAAAAUUAGUUUUAUCCCUUUUUCUUCCAGCAAAUUAGACUUGAAUGAAUACAGUUUUGGUUUCUUUUAUUUGAUUAAUAAUCGGAUAAAUCAAGUUACAGGCUUUUGUGGUUAGAUUGCUUCUUGCUUUGUGUGUGUGUGUGUAGAGGUAAUUGGUUAUACAACACUAGACUAUAAGUUUGUGGAUUGAUGCUCUUCAUUUGUUGUUUUUUUUUGUAAUUCUACAAAUAUUUGUGUUUGUGAUGUGCAAAGUAUAUGGAAAAUAUAUGGAAUUCGUAAUGUUUUUUGUUGAUUACAUGGUAUUUUCUAUAUACAUUGGGAUGUGCUCUUUUUAUGCAAUGCGUGUAUAUCACUGAAUUCAAGUAUCGAAAUCAAAUAUCUAUACGAUUCAUCUUGUAAUCUGACUGGUGCCUUUAACAGAAACCUACAACAAUCAAUUGAUAGAAAGAAANCACAGGGGCAAAAUCGUCCGAACAGGGCACUCCAGAAAUGAUCUGCCGCAGGGGCAAAAUCGUCCGAACAGGUCACCUCCAGAAAUGAUCUAGCGAAUUCUAUCGUUAAAAAGAGGAGUAGAAAAGCCUCCCAAAUUUCCCUCAAAAUUAUAGAAAAGGAAAAAGGCUCCAAAUUCCAAACCCUAAUUCUGCUCUCUUCAUCGCCGAUCCAAGAAAUGUCGCACUUCGGGAGAUCUGGGCCGCCGGACAUCAGAGACACCUUCUCUCUCCUCGUCCUCAACAUUACUUUCCGUACUAACUCUUCCGCUCAUCCUCUGUUUUUACUUCGUUUUUGUUUUGUCUUUUUGUUGCUAAUUUUGUUUGUUGAAAUUUUUGGAUUGAUUUUUGUGCUUGAUUUUUGGAUUAUUCAGGUACUACAGCUGAUGACUUGUUCCCCCUAUUUGAUAAGUAUGGCAAGGUGGUCGAUGUGUUCAUUCCUCGAGACAGGAGGUGACGUUAAGGGUGGUUUUGUUUGGUGUGUGUUUGUGUAUGUGAUAGAACGAGAUAUGUUAUGUUAUUUGUAGAGGUAUUUGGAUUUGUUGGUACCUUUGUCUUUGUUUUGUUCUUUUGUAUCCUUUGUGUGCGGUGUUGAAUAUAUAAAGCAUACACUUCAGUGGUGCAAAAAAUUGUUUGGUUUGAAGUUGUAGUUUCAAUUCUUUAUGGUUCAAUAUUAGCACGAUGUGUUCAAUUUUUUUUUGUGUGUUUUCACAAUGUAUUCGUUUUGGUGACUAGGGUAGCCUUUGCUUUAGGAUAGUAAGACUAACCAUUGAGCUUCUACAUCAGUUGUUCUUGAUAUACAUAUAUAUAUAUAUAUUCUGAAAUUAUGUUUUUGACCCAUGGUCUUUUGUAAAGCAGAACUGGAGACUCCAGGGGUUUUGCAUUUGUGCGAUAUAAGUAUCAAGAUGAGGCUCAAAAGGCAGUUGAAAAGCUCGAUGGUGAGCUGGGAGAAAAUUGAAAAUAGUUAGCAUUAGUAAUAGCCAUACUCCACUUCGUUGUAGUAUGACGAGUCGUUGUUUUGUUUCUUGCAGGAAGAGUUGUUGAUGGGCGAGAAAUAAUGGUUCAAUUUGCUAAAUAUGGGUCCCAAUGCAGAAACGAAUGUACGUUUUCACUACAGUACCUUUCCUUUGUUUUAAAAUUGACUAAGUUCAUGGUGGGCUGGGUUUUGUUUAUCUUCCGCUUUUGCUGUUUUGAUUGUUGAGGUUUCAUAUAUAUAUAUAUGUUCACAUUUUUCUGUUCUGCUGAUUGCAUAAUUUAAAGUUUUAUUGGACAUUACAAGUGAUGUAUAAAAUCCUGUGACAAAAACCAAAUCUGAUGGAUGUUUGUGGUUUUGAUCAGUGAUAAAGGUAGAAUUGAGGAACCUGUUUACAAGUCUAGAGGCAAGUCAAGAAGCCGCAGUCCUCGCCCAAGGUCUCUCUGCUUUUUAUGACUAUGCAUGCAGUCUUUCAAAUUGAAUAAUUGUCUCAUGCGUCAUUUUAGUAUUAAGCUAUACAUUUGCGACUUUGUCGCUGUUUUAUUCUUUUUGAUAUUAUUAUGAGAUUUUAUUUUUUAAGUGAAUUAAUGAGAGCUGUUUUGCUAUGACUUUGUGAUUUCAUAUUUUUGCUCCAAUUCGUUCCUAACUAGCCAAUCUUUAUUCUAAAGUUGAUUAUCUUAUCUUGGCUAAAUUAUAAUUAUUUCUUCCCAUGCAAUUUGCCAAUUAGUUAAAGAAAACUUUUAGUCCUUCUAAUCUUUCUUGAGUUGCUCUCUGCCUUAUUGCAUAUAUAAGAAUUUUAGCCCAUGACAAUUGUUAGUGAAUAAAUUAAGUUUAUGUUCAGGGGUGAUGACAGGGAUCGGGGAUUACAGGAGGAGCAGCCAGAGUAGAAGCAGGGGAAGAAGUGAGCGUGAAUCUCAUCGUGGCAGGCACAGGGAUUCUUCCUAUCGAAGCAGAAGCCGGUCCCGGAGCCGAAGCCGUAGUGCAAGUCCUGGCUAUCGCAGAGAACGUGGUAGAGGAAAAUAUGAUGAUGGUGAGAGACGUAGACGGAGUCGGUCUUAUGAAAGGUACUAUUUGAAAUAUUAAUAGCAUGUACGACGCUACUUUUGCUGUUUGAGAUUAAUUCUUAUUAUGUUUUUGGUGAUCUGUUAGUGCAUCUCCUGUUCGACGAAGUCUCAGUCCUCAGAGGUCUCCUUCCCCCAAAAAAUCACCUCUGUCCAGGGAUGGAAGUCCUGAUGUGCGCAAUCACAAAGAACGAUCUGCCACCCCCCCAAAGAGUGUUUCUCCCCGUGGCCGUCGUGAUUCUCGGAGCCCAUCUCCACAUGAUGAGGUUGAUGUAAGUAUUCUAUCCUACCGUGUGUCCUGCCUGUGGCAAUUUAUUUUGUCUCAGUAGAAUUUUUGAUCCUUUCUUUUGUCUUUUUCCAGGACUAAUGGAUUGGCAGCUUGUGCUUUCUUGAGUAAUUUGACCUAUCACCAUAUGGUGGUUGCGAUCAAUGCUUUUCCUAAAGAUCUGUCAUCAGUUUGAAUACCUAUGCAUUGUACUAGACUUGUUUUAUCGUUUUAUGUUAGAUUCUGCACCAGACAUAAAUGGUUUGGUACCAGUCUAAACUCUUUAAUCUUUCUUAGGUGGAUUGAGCUUUCAGUACAUUUCUUAUUCCUAAUAUGAAUGUGUGCCAUUG